UGGAUUGAAAAGCAGGCCCACGGAGCAGCCGUCCUCCUGCUUUAAUUGAGAAGACCCUCGCUGUACCAUAAACAGACCUGAACAGACCUGCUGGAAGGAAGCAGGAGUCAUUCCAUGCCUAAAACAGCAAAUUUAAACAACUAUGGCUUAAAAGGAAAUAGCAAUGCAACCCAGGGAAGAAGAGGCCUGGUCUUGGGUAGCUUGCACAGGAUCAACCUGUUGGACAGAGAGCAGUCGGCGAUCAGCACACUGUAAAUAACCUGCUUCAGAGGAAAACUGUUGCCUGACAAAAAGCCAUGAUGUUACACGUGGACAAUCUGGGAAGCAAGAUUCACCGAGAAAAACCCUGAGAACGUUAAAUCACUGGAGUCACAAGAGUGUGUUAACUUAAACAGGACCAAAAGUCAGGAUCCAGCUGUCAAUUUUCACUCACAUAUAAUACAUGAGCAGAAGAGAUGGACAAUUACUGAGGUCUCUGUGACUGGAAAAAAAUCUCUCCACAACAAAAGGCCAAAAGAGGUCAAAGCCUAAGUGUUUACAUAACUCUGUCAUUUUAACAUUACUGUUGACAUAAAUUGAAGUAUUUUAGAAAUGUGCUGUAAUAACUAACUCUGAUUAUGCACAAACUAUUUUAUUGCUUGUUUGUGAAAAAGAAAUUUCAACAAACAGGUUUAUGCAUAUGCAUGAUGUGUAAUGCUUUUGUAGAAUGACUGCACAUUAUUAAUGUGUAAUAAAAUUACAGUAUUUCAUCA